rnacentral:lncRNA from 1 species
CUUGACCGGGCCAGUCACAUAGUGAAUGAAAUCAUUUUGGGCCCUUCCCCCAUCAGACACUUUUCCAGGAAAUAGCUUUUUGCUGCCAUGACCUCUUUUGCUGCUGUUUGAUAUCCUUGAUAUGAAAAAUGUGAAUGGAGACGAGCACCCCAUUAACCAGCAGCUCUUAGGCAGCAUUGCUUGUUGGAGGUAUCUUUUCACAGAGGUGAGCCGGCAGCGCCCUGGGCAUUAUGGGAGCAUCCUGAAGAUGCCAUUUGGAGUAGCUACUUUGAGGACAAGAGACAAAAAGCCUGAGGAGAAAGUCACCAUGAAGGAAACAGAAAGAUUAAACAGCAUGCGUGAUCUUUGAUUCAGAGUCCCCAUCUCACCCUGGACUGCCUUCCUUUGGAAUUCCCUUGUGGAAAAAAAAAUUAAACUCUUAUUUGGUUAAAUAAUUGUAAG